AAUAAUUUAAGAUAUAAAUUGAAUUUGACAUUGAAUACACUGACAUAUAAUCAAUGCAAAUUCCAUGUAAUUGACAUUAACAAUUAUUUAAAAAAUAACUGUUUAUUGACAAUAGAUAAAUAUAAUUAUCUAAAUAAAUAUUGUAAAAGACGAAUAGCGAAUUCGCUAUCAUAUUUUAUUAAAUAUUUAGCCAUUAAUUUGGCUAGCCAAACUGCUUUUAUUGAGCAGAACAUGGAUGUUCGACCCUUGGAAUCUGUUCCAAAUCAUAAUUUAAAUUACAUCGUAAGACAAUAGAGGAUAACUCUGGCAUACAAAAUUCGGGUACAAAGAAAUUUAACGGUUUUAAUUUAGUGCAUCAAAAUGUACAAGGCUUCUCCGGCCUCAGAAUACGGAACAAACCAGAAACCGUCAACGGGCGUAAAUGUGUAUUCAUAUAAAGUACUCCAAAUCGCACUACUUUGACUUUAAAGCAAUCAGUCAAUGGCCGGCGCGCGCAUUGUUUACAUAUCCGUCAGAUUGACACUUUAUAAUUAAAUUAUGCCGUCUUGUGCCGUUCCAACAUGUAAGAAUGCUACUGGAAUUACGAAGAAAGUGCAUGGGAUCAUGUUUUAUCCGAUACACAGCCAGAGUUGCCUCGCAAUCAAAUUUAAGUAUUGGUGAUGUUUUUGAUUUGGAUUCUGUUUUUCACUCCAAGAAAAGUUAAACUAAAAGCACUACUGCGCCGUAAACAAAUGUUUUGUUGUCGAUAUGUUUACAUAAUAAAGAACCUUAAGUUUC